UACGUAGGGGGCUAGCGUUGUCCGGAAUCAUUGGGCGUAAAGAGCGUGUAGGCGGCCCGGUAAGUCCGCUGUAAAAGUCAAAGGCUCAACCUUUGAAAGCCGAUGGAUACUGCUGGGCUAGAGUCCGGAAGAGGCGAGUGGAAUUCCUGGUGGUAGCGGUGAAAUGCGCAGAUAUCAGGAGGAACACCAAUUGCGAAGGCAGCUCGCUGGGACGUUACUGACGCUGAGACGCGAAAGCGUGGGGAGCAAACAGG
rnacentral:rRNA from 1 species